rnacentral:rRNA from 1 species
UACAGAGGUCCCAAGCGUUGUUCGGAUUCACUGGGCGUAAAGGGUGCGUAGGCGGUCGGGUAAGUCUGGCGUGAAAUCUCCAAGCCUAACUUGGAAACUGCGUUGGAUACUAUCCGGCUCGAGGAAUGGAGGGGAGACUGGAAUACUUGGUGUAGCAGUGAAAUGCGUAGAUAUCAAGUGGAACACCAGUGGCGAAGGCGAGUCUCUGGACAUUUCCUGACACUGAGACACGAAAGCCAGGGGAGCAAACGGG